rnacentral:rRNA from 1 species
UAGUAUUCAAUUGUCAGAGGUGAAAUUCUUGGAUUUAUUGAAGACUAACUUCUGCGAAAGCAUUUGCCAAGGAUGUUUCAUUAAUCAAGAACGAAAGUUAGGGGUUCGAAGACGAUCAGAUACCGUCGUAGUCUUAACCAUAAACUAUGCCGACUAGGGAUCGGACGAUGUUAAUUUUUUAAUGACUCG